rnacentral:lncRNA from 1 species
AUGGAGUGCAAGAAGACCUGUGUUUUAUUUUCAUCAAUGCUCCAUUCUGGUACUAUGGUUUCCGCUCUUGACUCAACGAACCAAAAGCAAGUUUGUUGUGGUACUUGAGACCUUUCUUAAGUAAGUCUUUUCCCUUCAUUAUUAGCCAUCAAAGAUCUGAUUUUGACUCCAUUAUAAACUUGACAUUUGAGAAAUGAACGAAAAUUGUGUAUAUUUUUAGGUAAAUUCCAGCUGAGGAGAUACCGAUUAAGUAUGGUGGUUUCAAGAGAGAAAUUGACACCAAGUUCUUCUUCUCUAAAGAUGGUUAUGUUUUUGAGCAACUCAAAGCAAACCAUAGAAAUUGAUGUAGCUCAUGUACUAAUAAUUUUUUUUAUUUGUUUGGAUACCGAAAACUGAGGAGGAUAAUAACA